GAGGACCCCACCUCCUAAUAGCAUCACACUAGGAUUCAGGUUUUAUCAUACUAAUUUUAUGGGGACGCAUUCAGUCCAUUGCAGCCAUCAAGAUUCCUGGCCCCUGGUAUACACAGGCCUUCUCUCAGUUAUUCAGUCAAACACUAAUCCAGGUGCUGCAGUGAAGGGAUUUUGCAGAUGUCACUAAAUUCCCAAAUCAGUCAACUUUAAAACAGGGAGAUUAUCCAGACUCCAUGUGGUCAUUUUUAAAGAUAUGAUUUUGGAGGGGAGCAGAACAAUAUGGUGGAAUAGAAGGCUGCACCAAUUAUCCUCCCACUCAACAGGAACAGCAAAUUUAACAACUAUCUACAGACAAAAAAGCACCUUCAUAAGAACCAAAAAUCAGUUUUUCUUUUUUUUUUUAGAUAUGGGGUCUUGGUCUUGCUGUUUUGUCCAGGUUGACCUGAACUCCUCCAGCCUCCUGAGUACCUGAGAGUACAGGCAUACACCACCACAAAAGACUUUCUCUCCAUUAAAUAAAUAGGAUAAGUUCCUUUGUUAAUUAAAAAAUGUAGCAGAUUCUGA